ACAUCCUCCCCUGGGUUGUGGGGGCUCACAGCUCUCUCCUCACACAGGGCAGAAAUCUCUGGGGAAGGUAGAACUGUGCUCUAGAAGAAGAUGAGACUGCUGGGUCUUCUCCUGUGCCUGGUGACAGCCCCCCCCAGGGUGUCCACUCUGAGGUGCAGCUGCAGGAGUCGGGCCCAGGAGUGGUGAAGCCCUCACAGACCCUCUCCCUCACCUGCACAGUCUCUGGUUACUCCAUCACCAGUGGUCAUGAAUGGAGCUGGAUCCGCCAGUUCCCCCAGAGGGGGCUGGAGUGGAUCGGGUACAUAAGUUAUAGUGGAAGUGCUUACUACAGCCCGUCCCUCAAGAGCCGCACCUCCAUCUCCAGAGACACGUCCAAGAACCAGUUCUCCCUGCAGCUGACUUCCAUGACCACCGAGGAUACAGCUGUGUAUUACUGUGC